AACUUGUAUGCUAAUUAUCCCGAUAUCAAAGAUGGCGGCCAAGCAGCAUUGAAAAUCUUCUCCGCAAUGACUUACUAAAUUAAGCAUUAGCUGACUUUUUGUUGUUUACAGAAGUGACUAAGUCAUUGCAGCGCUGCUCUUCCGAUAGAAGAAAUGGUGUGAGAAUACGAGGAAAGUGUCUUUUGAGGAGGAGCGGGCCACUACUAGCCGAGAGUUUCCCGUUGUCUGGCUGUUUGGACAGCGGAGAAGCUAACUAGCCUCUACCGUCAAUUUUUAAAAUGGCUCCGGUGCAGAUUGGGUCAGAUGGGCCGCUCGUCCCGCUCGGAGGUCCCGUUGUGUCGGGUCCACAGCCACCACCUCCCGGGACCCCAGCUACACAGGGCGUCAAACUAAGCUUGCUUAUUGAAUUUCUUCUCCAGCGGACUUACCAUGAAAUUACCCUGCUGGCUGAGCUGCUCCCUCGAAAAACUGAUAUGGAGCGGAAAAUUGAGAUUGUCCAGUUUGCAAGUCGCACCAGGCAGCUGUUUGUACGCCUCCUGGCCCUGGUUAAGUGGGCAAGCAAUGCGGGAAAAGUUGAGAAGUGUGCGAUGAUCUCCAGUUUCCUGGAUCAGCAGGCCAUCUUGUUUGUGGACACAGCCGACAGACUGGCUCUGCUGGCUCGGGACGCCCUCGUGCACGCUCGCUUACCCAGCUUCGCCAUCCCCUUCGCCAUCGACGUCUUGACGACAGGGUCAUACCCACGCCUGCCUACGUGUAUACGUGAUAAAAUAAUACCUCCCGACCCAAUCACUAAAACGGAGAAGCAGACCACUUUAAACCAGCUUAAUCAGAUUCUACGACAUCGCCUUGUCACCACUGACUUGCCUCCACAGCUGGCAAAUCUCACAGUUGCUAAUGGUCGUGUUAAGUUUCGGGUGGAGGGAGAGUUUGAGGCCACUCUGACAGUAAUGGGAGAUGAUCCCGACAUUCCCUGGCGGCUGUUGAAGUUGGAAAUUCUAGUGGAAGAUAAAGAAACUGGAGAUGGACGAGCACUGGUCCACAGUUUGCAGGUGAACUUCAUCCACGAGUUGGUCCAGGCUCGACUUUGUGCCGAUGAAAAACCCCUACAGGACAUGUAUAACUGCCUGCAUUCCUUUUGUCUGUCGCUGCAGCUUGAGGUUCUCCAUUCUCAGACACUGAUGCUGAUCAGAGAGCGCUGGGGAGACCUGGUACAGGAGGAAAAAUAUGUUCCGGCAAAAUACCUCACGCUUUCCGUCUGGAACCAACAGGUUUUGGGUAGAAAAACUGGCACAGCGUCAGUGCAUAAAGUCACAAUCAAAAUUGAUGAAUCAGAUGGAUCUAAGCCAUUGCAAAUAUCUCAUGAGCCUGCUCUCCCUGCCUGCGACUCAAAGUUAAUGGAGCGAGCCAUGAAGAUUGAUCAUCUCUCAGUGGAGAAGCUGCUGAUUGACAGUGUUCAUGCCCGCGCCCAUCAGAAGCUGCAGGAACUCAAGGCCAUUUUAAAGACCAGCAAUCCCAGUGAUAACUCAUUCAUUGAGACAGCUUUGCCCACGUUGGUCGUUCCAAUACUUGAGCCAUGUGGUCGCUCAGAGUGCCUGCACAUUUUUGUAGAUCUUCAUUCUGGCAUGUUUCAACCCAUGCUCUAUGGAUUAGACCAGUCCAUGCUGGAUGACAUUGAAAAGACGGUCAAUGAUGAUAUGAAGCGCAUUCUCUCUUGGCUUCAGCAGCUCAAGUUCUGGCUAGGGGAGCAGCGAUGUCGACAGUCCGUGAAGCACCUUCCCACCGUUUGCUCAGACAUCGUUCACCUCUCCAAUUCAGCCACGCACCCAGUCGGCAGCUUGUCCAAGCACAAACUCUUCAUCAAGCUCACUCGUCUCCCACAGUACUACAUUGUGGUGGAAAUGCUUGAAGUGCCUAGCAGUCCCACAGCAUUACAGUACAAAUACUCUUUCCUAUCAGUUUCUCAGUUAGAGGGAGAGGAUGGGCCUAUGUGCGCACAACUUUUACAGCUUUUUAAACCCAACCUGGAAUACCUUGUCCAGGACCCAACAACAGGGAGAGAGGCUCGACCUGGAACAAAAAGAAAAAUUGCUGGAGAUCAAGGAGACUCGGAGCCUAAGAAGCCCAAGAGGUCUGGAGAAAUGUGUGCUUUUAACAAGGAGCUGGCUCAUCUUGUAGCCAUGUGCGAUACCAACAUGCCUUUUAUUGGUCUCAGAGCAGAGCUUUCCAACAUGGUGAUUCCAAAUGAGGGAGUGCAAGUGGAAGGUGACGGGAGUAGUCACGCAAUCCGACUGCUAAAGAUUCCCCCUUGUAGAGAUGUCGGAGAGGAAACCAGGAGAGCUUUGGAGCGCUCCCUCUUGGACAGCACCAUUCGCUUGCAGGGCAGGAAUAACCGGACCUGGGUGGCUGAGCUGGUGCUGGCCAACUGUCCGCUCAGCAGCACCAACAGCAAGGAACAAGCUUCCACUCGCCAUGUGUAUUUGACCUAUGAAAACCCUCUGUCGGAGCCUGUGGGCGGGAGGAAGGUGGUGGAGAUGUUCCUGAACGACUGGAAAGCUAUCAGCCAGCUCUACCAGUGUGUUCUGAACUUUUCUUGCACACUGCCAGAAAUGCCGCCUUACCUGAGCCAGUUCUCAGAGGUCCGGCUGUAUAACUACCGCAAGCUGGUGCUGUGCUACGGCACCACCAAAGGCAGCUCCGUCACCAUCCAGUGGAACUCCAACACGCAGCGCUUCCACCUCGCCCUGGGCACCGUGGGGCCCAACUCGGGCUGCUCCAACUGCCACAACAUCAUCCUCCACCAGCUGCAGGAGAUGUUCAACAAGAACCCGAACGUGCUGCAGCUGCUGCAGGUGCUCUAUGACACACAAGCUCCUCUCAAUGCAAUCAACAAGCUACCAACAGUGCCCAUGCUGGGCCUCACCCAGCGCACCAACACUGCCUACCAGUGUUUCUCCAUUCUGCCCCAGUCCCCCACGCACAUCCGCCUAGCGUUCCGCAACAUGUACUGCAUCGACAUCUACUGCCGCAGCCGAGGAGUGGUAGCCAUUCGAGACGGAGCCUACAGCCUGUUUGACAACACUAAGAUUGUGGAAGGGUUUUACCCCGCUCCAGGUCUCAAGACAUUCCUUAACAUGUUUGUGGACAGCAGCCAAGACGCCCGCAGACGUUCCGUCAACGAAGAUGACAACCCUCCCUCCCCUGUGGGCGUUGACGUGAUGGACAGCCUGAUGAACCAGUUUCAGGGUCAGCAGCAGCCCCAGACCAUGAGAGGGGGCGCCGGAGGCGUAUACCCGCCUCUUACGUCGCCUCCACCGAAUUAUCUCGCCAACGUCACUCCGUCGCCCUCCAUGAUGCCCACACAGUCGCCAGGGAACAUCCAUGCCUCUGGCUCCCCUAGCGGAGCUUUGAGGGCGCCCUCUCCUUUUGGCCCCACCCCGUCUCCGUCGUCUCUGGGCAUAGCCAUGGGCCAGACCAGCUUUGCCAGUCCCCACGGUCCUCUGGACCCCAGCUCUCCUUACACCAUGGUGUCUCCCAGCCAUAGGGGCCAGUGGCCAGGCUCGCCCCAGGUUUCAGGGCCUUCUCCUGGGGCCAGAAUCCCUGGCAUGUCCCCCGGUAAUCCUUCGCUGCACUCACCUAUUCCCGACCCCAACUCUCCACGUGCUGGGAGUAGUUCCCAAGUCAUGCCUACCAGUAUGCCUCCUCCCCGAAAGCUACCUCAGCGCCCCUGGGCUGCAUCCAUCCCCACCAUCCUCUCCCACAAUGCCUUACACGUGCUUCUGCUCCCCUCACCCACCCCCUGCAUGGUACCCGGCCUGGCAGGGAGCUAUCUCUGCUCGCCACUGGAGCGCUUUUUGGGUUCCGUUAUCAUGAGACGACACCUACAGAGGAUCAUCCAGCAGGAGGCGACGUUAUCGAUCGUGAACUCCAACGAGCCAGGCGUGAUCAUGUUCAAGACGGAUGUUCUCAAGUGCCGAGUGGCUCUCAAUCCAAAGAACUAUCAGACUCUGCAACUCAAAGUUACCCCAGAAAACACAGGGCCCUGGUCCCAGGAGGAGCUUCAGGUGCUGGAGAGAUUCUUUGAGACCCGGGUUGCUGGUCCUCCCUUUAAAUUCAACACUCUGAGUGCCUUCACGAAACUGCUCGGUGCUCCCACUAAUGUUCUUAGAGACUGUGUGCGCAUCAUGAAGCUUGAGCUGUUCCCUGACCAGGCUGGACAGCUCAAGUGGAAUGUCCAAUUUUGUCUCACCAUCCCUCCCAGUGCUCCCCCUAUCGCUCCUCCUGGGACCAUCGCUGUGGUGCUCAAGGCCAAAAUGCUUUUUUUUGUAAGUUCUACAGCUCACCCAGCGCAUCCCGGUGCCCCAGGACCCUGUGAGCAUCAUUGUUCCCAUCGUGUACGAUAUGGCCACGGGCCUCACUCAGCAGGCUGAUAUUCCCAGGCAGCACAGCUCCUCUGGGGCUGCAGCGCUUCUGGUCUCUAAUAUCCUCAAGAGGUUCAACGAGCUGCACCCUUCCAGGCAGGGUGAGUGCACCAUAUUUGCAUCUGUUCAAGAGCUGAUGGCCAGCCUGUCGCUUCCCCCCAGCACUCGACAGUAACCUGUUCAGACUUUGUCCUGAAACCGAACUGGAGUCGCCUGAGAUCGAGUCCAGAGCUGACUUGACAAAAAAAAGAGGAAAAGCGGUCGUCUGAAUCCAGCAUGCCAUCUCUCUUCAGCUGAAAACUGACUUGGAAUGAAAUGAAUGCUGAAUGCAAAGGAAAAAAAAAUAUAAAUGUGUUAUUUUUGUCCUGCAGGCAGUUGUAAGCAAAAGUAUCUAUUGAAAAUUAAGAUUGUUUACAAAAAUAUGUAUAUUGUUGUAAAUUUGCUUGUCAGAAAGAAAAUCAGGUGAGAUAGUUUUUGUGAGAUUUUUUUUUUCUUCUUGUCUGAUAUUAUUGUAGUUUUCAGGGGACAGAUUCCUUAGCACACUAUUUAAUGAUCUAAUUGCCUUUGUUUUAUCAGUAUCUCUGCUUUUCUUUUUUUAUUUGAAUUUUUCAUUUUAUAUACUCUAAAACUGUGAUAAACUUUAUAAGCCAGUUGUAUUUUACUAAGAACCAUUUUGAGUCCUGAUUGAAGGAUUUGGAGACAUGCUGUCUGACUUUGCUAUUUAAUAAACAACGCCCCGUGUUGGUUUGUGCUUUAA